rnacentral:rRNA from 2 species
AAUGGCCCACCAAGACUAUUACAGGUACGGGCUCUGAGAGGAGUAGCCCGGAGAUGGGUACUGAGACACGGACCCAGGCCCUAUGGGGCGCAGCAGGCGAGAAAACUUUGCAAUGUGCGAAAGCACGACAAGGUUAAUCCGAGUGGUUUCUGCUAAAGGAACCUUUUGUCAGUCCUAGAAACACUGAUGAAUAAGGGGUGGGCAAGUUCUGGUGUCAGCCGCCGCGGUAAAACCAGCACCUCAAGUGGUCAGGAUGAUUAUUGGGCCUAAAGCAUCCGUAGCCGGCUCUGUAAGUUUUCGGUUAAAUCUGUACGCUCAACGUACAGGCUGCCGGGAAUACUGCAAAGCUAGGGAGUGGGAGAGGUAGACGGUACUCGGUAGGAAGGGGUAAAAUCCUUUGAUCUAUUGAUGACCACCUGUGGCGAAGGCGGUCUACCAGAACACGUCCGACGGUGAGGGAUGAAAGCUGGGGGAGCAAACCGGAUUAGAUACCCGGGUAGUCCCAGCUGUAAACCAUGCAAACUCAGUGAUGCAUUGGCUUGUGGCCAAUGCAGUGCUGCAGGGAAGCCGUUAAGUUUGCCGCCUGGGAAGUACGUACGCAAGUAUGAAACUUAAAGGAAUUGGCGGGGGAGCACCACAAGGGGUGAAGCCUGCGGUUCAAUUGGAGUCAACGCCGGA